CUUGGCGUUCACUGCAAGCUAUGAGCUCUGCAAGUGGUGCCCCGGACGUGAUCGCCUUGAAGUUACGUGUGAAGGAGGAGAGCUCAUUACUUUUCGGGGAAUCCUGAGAACAGGACCAGUCGUUGGAGAACCACCCAACAAUGAUGUGAUGACUCGGAAGGCAGCUGACAUCACCUGGGGACAGCUAAAGAAAUUGAAUCAACAAGCAUCUAUCCAGCUUGCCGCCGUGGAAGCCCCUGCAACUGCAGACAAUCGGUUUCUUACGUAUCUGGCGGUAAUUGGGGAAACUUCUGAGAAAGUAAGACAGACAUGGAUGUUGGGGUGGCGGGCACUUGCAGAUGGCUCUGUGCUGCCACCCGACGCAUCUAUGACCAGGGAAGAAUCAUGGAAGCUUACCUUGCAUUGGAUGACCAGCAUGCUGUAAGAAUUAAAGAAGGGGGGGAUAUGGGGGGUGUACGACAACAUAUCCAAGCUUAGGUACAAGGCGUUUGAGGUCGGGGCGUGGAAACAUACUGAGGCACUGUGUGUAUGUUAUUUGUGCAUGAGAAUGAAACUCCUUGACCCUGAAAACAGCACGGGGAGUGGAGUGUGUGGCGUGAUAAGGAACGCUGAAAACAGCCUCCCGAGAAUGCGGUUUGCGUGCUUGUACCAGGCCACAGGUGUCUCACGACCCGACCUCAAAAAGGCCAUCUAGUGGAUGUUUGUGGUUUAACAAGCCCUUUCAAUGAAUACUUGGCGGACAGAUGCUGGGGCGGAGUCUCUUAGGAGAGCUGCCCCCGGCCCCCCUCAGCUGGAUUUGUCUGAGAACUCAUUCUUGGCGUUCCACUGCAAGCUAUAAGCUCUGCAAUGGGCCCUGAAAAAAAAAAAUCGAUACUACGAUGACUCCCGUAUGUAUUUCUUCAGCCCAGGUCCAGACCUUUGUCUACUCAACUUCUCCACGUGGAUACCUAAUAGGCAUCUCAAAUUUAAAUAUCCAAAACCAAACUCCUGACAUUAAACACAAGAAGCAAGAAAAAUGAACAUAUUUUCUGAUUCCACUAAUAUAAAAGUACAUAACAGUCAACACCAAACCAUAUUAUUAUUAUUUCUUGAAUUGAACUUUUAUUUUAAGUUCAGAGGUACAUGUACAGGUUCGUUACAUAGGUAAACUUGUGUCGUGGGGGUUUCUUGUAGAAAUUGUUUCGUCACCCAGUGAUUAAGCCUAGUACCCAUUCGUUAUUUUUCCUGCUCCUCUCCAUCCUCCCACCCUCCACCGUCCAAUAGGCCCCAGUGUGUGUUGUUCCCCUCUUUGUGUCCCUGUGUUCUCAUCAUUUAGCUUCCACUUGUAAGUGGGAAUAUGCGAUAUUUGGUUUUCUGUUCCUGCAUUAGUUUGCUAAGGAUAAUGGCCUCCAGUUCCAACCAUGUUCCUGCAAAGGACCUGAUCUCAUUCUUUUUUAUGGCCGUAUAGUAUCCCAUGGUGUAUAUGUACCACAUUUUCUUUAUCCAGUCUACCAUUGAUGGGCAUUUAGGUUGAUUCCAUAUCUUUGGUAUUGUGAAUAGUGCUGCAAUGAAUAUACACGUGCACGUGUCUUGAUAACAGAAUGAUUUAUUAUAUUCCUUUGGGUAUAUGCUCAGUGAUGAGAUUGCUGGGCCGAAUGGUAUUUCUGUCUUCAGGUCUUCGAGGAAUCACCACAUGGUCUUCCACAAUGGUUAAACUAAUUUACACUCUCACCAACAGUGUAUAAGUGUUCCUUUUUCUCUGCAACCUCGCCAGUAUCCAUUAUUAUUUUUUUUUCACUUUGUAAUAAUAGCCAUUCUGACUGGCGUGAGAUGGUAUCUCAUUGUGGUUUUGAUUUGCAUUUCUGUAAUGGUCAGUGAUGUUGAGCGUUCCUUCACAGGAUUGUUGGCCGCAUGUAUGUCUUGUUUUGAAAAGUGACUGUUCAUGUCCUUUGCCCACUUUUUAAUGGGGUUGUUUGGUUUUUUUCUUGUAAAUUUGUUUAAGUUCCUUAUAGAUGCUAUUUGUUUGUCACAUCUCUGAUUUCCUUGAGCAGUAUUUUGUAGUUCUUCUUGUAGAGAUCUUUCACCUCCCUGGUGUGGUGUAUUCCUGGGUAUCUUGGUGUGUGUAGCAAUUAUGAAUGGGACUGUGUUCCCAAUUUGGCUCUCUGCUUGACUGUUGUUGGUGUAUACGAAUGUUUGCGAUUUUUCCCAUUGAUCUGGUAUCCUGAGACUUUGCUGAAGUUGAUUAUCAGCUUAAGGAGCUUUGGGGCUGACACUGUGUGGUUUUCUAGACUUAGGAACAUGUCGUCUGCAGGCAUACUGUAGUAUUAAAAGAAUGUAAUAUAGGACAUAGGACAGAAAAACGUAGAGAAAAAAGAGGAAAGAAUGAUCACAAAUGUAAAUGUGUUGGUUUCCUCUUGAAGGAGGAAUGAGGCUGAGAUCAGGCAGAGACACCCCAGGAGCUUUGGGGAAUGCUGGCGGUGUUCUCCUCUGUGACAUGGGGGUGUUUCUGUAGAGGUGCCCUUGAUAAUCACUUAUUAAACAACACGCACAUAUUGUGAAGUUCUCUCUAUGUAUGUUACAUUUCAAAAUAAAGAGGGGCGAAAUUGCUAAUAAGAAAUAACACGCAUUUGUAGUUAAACACUUCUCACAAUCCACAGACCUGGAAAUGACUGAUUAGUUUUCUGUAUGUGUAGUUUUCCAGUUUUAAGAAUGUUCUACAAAUGGAAUCACACAUUAUGUAGCAUUUCAUAUUUGGUGUCUUUAGCACAGUGAAAUACAUAUAAGACCUCUAGAACUGCAAUGUACUCUUUCUUGACCUCAGUACUCAAUACGUGUUUUCAUCACUUCACAAUAGUUCAUUCACAGUCGAUUGGUUUUCUAAACUUGUAUAUAUGUGUAGUAUGCUUUAUAAAUAUCAUAUGAUGGUUAACUUUAUGUAAUUUGUUAUAUCUUGGUAAUGGACUUUUCUUAAAAAUGGAUAGUAUCCCUAAGAAUACCCCGUACAUUUCCAUUGC
rnacentral:lncRNA from 1 species